rnacentral:rRNA from 1 species
GACGAACGCUGGCGGCGUGCUUAACACAUGCAAGUCGAACGGAAAGGCCCUGCUUUUGUGGGGUGCUCGAGUGGCGAACGGGUGAGUAACACAUGAGUAACCUGCCCUUGACUUUGGGAUAACUUCAGGAAACUGGGGCUAAUACCGGAUAGGAGCUCCUGCUGCAUGGUGGGGGUUGGAAAGUUUCGGCGGUUGGGGAUGGACUCGCGGCUUAUCGGCUUGUUGGUGGGGUAGUGGCUUACCAAGGCUUUGACGGGUAGCCGGCCUGAGAGGGUGACCGGCCACAUUGGGACUGAGAUACGGCCCAGACUCCUACGGGAGGCAGCAGUGGGGAAUAUUGCACAAUGGGCGGAAGCCUGAUGCAGCAACGCCGCGUGCGGGAUGACGGCCUUCGGGUUGUAAACCGCUUUCGCCUGUGACGAAGCGUGAGUGACGGUAAUGGGUAAAGAAGCACCGGCUAACUACGUGCCAGCAGCCGCGGUGAUACGUAGGGUGCGAGCGUUGUCCGGAUUUAUUGGGCGUAAAGGGCUCGUAGGUGGUUGAUCGCGUCGGAAGUGUAAUCUUGGGGCUUAACCCUGAGCGUGCUUUCGAUACGGGUUGACUUGAGGAAGGUAGGGGAGAAUGGAAUUCCUGGUGGAGCGGUGGAAUGCGCAGAUAUCAGGAGGAACACCAGUGGCGAAGGCGGUUCUCUGGGCCUUUCCUGACGCUGAGGAGCGAAAGCGUGGGGAGCGAACAGGCUUAGAUACCCUGGUAGUCCACGCUGUAAACGGUGGGUACUAGGUGUGGGGUCCAUUCCACGGGUUCCGUGCCGUAGCUAACGCUUUAAGUACCCCGCCUGGGGAGUACGGCCGCAAGGCUAAAACCCAAAGGAAUUGACGGGGCCCCGCACAAGCGGCGGAGCAUGCGGAUUAAUUCGAUGCAACGCGUAGAACCUUACCUGGGUUUGACAUGGAUCGGGAGUGCUCAGAGAUGGGUGUGCCUCUUUUGGGGUCGGUUCACAGGUGGUGCAUGGCUGUCGUCAGCUCGUGUCGUGAGAUGUUGGGUUAAGUCCCGCAACGAGCGCAACCCUUGUUCACUGUUGCCAGCACGUUAUGGUGGGGACUCAGUGGAGACCGCCGGGGUCAACUCGGAGGAAGGUGGGGAUGACGUCAAGUCAUCAUGCCCCUUAUGUCCAGGGCUUCACGCAUGCUACAAUGGCUGGUACAGAGAGUGGCGAGCCUGUGAGGGUGAGCGAAUCUCGGAAAGCCGGUCUCAGUUCGGAUUGGGGUCUGCAACUCGACCUCAUGAAGUCGGAGUCGCUAGUAAUCGCAGAUCAGCAACGCUGCGGUGAAUACGUUCCCGGG